rnacentral:rRNA from 1 species
GAUGAACGCUGGCGGCGUGCCUAAUACAUGCAAGUCGAACGCAUUGUGGUUGAAAUGAUAUGAAGAACUUGUUCAGAUUUGAUUUUCAACAUUGCAAUGAGUGGCGAACGGGUGAGUAACACGUGGGAAACCUACCUCUUAGCAGGGGAUAACAUUUGGAAACAAAUGCUAAUACCGUAUAAAUAAUUAAAACCGCAAUGGUUUUUAGUUUAAAAGAUGGUCUUGCUAUCACUAAGAGAUGGUCCCGCGGUGUAUUAGUUAGUUGGUGAGGUAAUGGCUCACCAAGACAAUGAUACAUAGCCGAGUUGAGAGACUGACCGGCCACAAUGGGACUGAGACACGGCCCAUACU